rnacentral:ncRNA from 2 species
UAAUUGCCAUAACUCCGAGCUCACGACGCUAAGUCGGCGGGACUUUCUCCUUGAAUUAGGAUGUCCAUCUAGAUAAGCGUGUUGAGCCAGUGACAGAAGGUCACAAGGCUUGAUUGGAAAUGAUCACGCCUCCCGUGUUUGGAAAGGUGUUCCGUGGCGCAACAA